rnacentral:rRNA from 1 species
GAAACUGCGAAUGGCUCAUUAAAUCAGUUAUCGUUUAUUUGAUAGUACCUUACUACUUGGAUAACCGUGGUAAUUCUAGAGCUAAUACAUGCUAAAAGCCUCGACUUCGGAAGGGGCGUAUUUAUUAGAUAAAAAACCAAUGCCCUUCGGGGCUCUCUGGUGAUUCAUAAUAACUUAACGAAUCGCAUGGCCUUGUGCCGGCGAUGGUUCAUUCAAAUUUCUGCCCUAUCAACUUUCGAUUGUAAGGUCUUGGCUUACAAUGGUUUCAACGGGUAACGGGGAAUUAGGGUUCUAUUCCGGAGAGGGAGCCUGAGAAACGGCUACCACUACCAAGGAAGGCAGCAGGCGCGCAAAUUACCCAAUCCCGACACGGGGAGGUAGUGACAAUAAAUACUGAUACAGGGCUCUUUUGGGUCUUGUAAUUGGAAUGAGUACAAUUUAAAUCCCUUAACGAGGAACAAUUGGAGGGCAAGUCUGGUGCCAGCAGCCGCGGUAAUUCCAGCUCCAAUAGCGUAUAUUAAAGUUGUUGCAGUUAAAAAGCUCGUAGUUGAACCUUGGGCCUGGCUGGCCGGUCCGCCUCAC